rnacentral:rRNA from 1 species
CUCCUCCUCCCCCCCGCCGCGGGGAAUAUUGCACAAUGGGGGAAACCCUGAUGCAGCGACGCCGCGUGAGUGAAGAAGUAUUUCGGUAUGUAAAGCUCUAUCAGCAGGGAAGAAAAUGACGGUACCUGCCUCCUCCUCCCCUUCUCCCUCCUUUCCCUCCUCCUCCCCAACACGUAGGGGGCAAGCGUUAUCCGGAUUUACUGGGUGUAAAGGGAGCGUAGACGGCCAGACAAGUCAGAAGUGAAAGCCCAGGGCUCAACUCUGGGACUGCUUUUGAAACUGCCGGGCUGGAGUGCAGGAGAGCC